rnacentral:rRNA from 1 species
GUGAGUAACGCGUAAAGAACUUGCCUUACAGACUGGGACAACAUUUGGAAACGAAUGCUAAUACCGGAUAUUAUGAUUGGGUCGCAUGAUCUGGUUAUGAAAGCUAUAUGCGCUGUGAGAGAGCUUUGCGUCCCAUUAGUUAGUUGGUGAGGUAACGGCUCACCAAGACGAUGAUGGGUAGCCGGCCUGAGAGGGUGAACGGCCACAAGGGGACUGAGACACGGCCCUUACUCCUACGGGAGGCAGCAGUGGGGAAUAUUGGACAAUGGACCAAAAGUCUGAUCCAGCAAUUCUGUGUGCACGAUGAAGUUUUUCGGAAUGUAAAGUGCUUUCAGUUGGGAAGAAGUCAGUGACGGUACCAACAGAAGAAGCGACGGCUAAAUACGUGCCAGCAGCCGCGGUAAUACGUAUGUCGCAAGCGUUAUCCGGAUUUAUUGGGCGUAAAGCGCGUCUAGGCGGCUUAGUAAGUCUGAUGUGAAAAUGCGGGGCUCAACCCCGUAUUGCGUUGGAAACUGCUAAACUAGAGUACUGGAGAGGUAGGCGGAACUACAAGUGUAGAGGUGAAAUUCGUAGAUAUUUGUAGGAAUGCCGAUGGGGAAGCCAGCCUACUGGACAGAUACUGACGCUAAAGCGCGAAAGCGUGGGUAGCAAACAGGAUUAGAUACCCUGGUAGUCCACGCCGUAAACGAUGAUUACUAGGUGUUGGGGGUCGAACCUCAGCGCCCAAGCUAACGCGAUAAGUAAUCCGCCUGGGGAGUACGUACGCAAGUAUGAAACUCAAAGGAAUUGACGGGGACCCGCACAAGCGGUGGAGCAUGUGGUUUAAUUCGACGCAACGCGAGGAACCUUACCAGCGUUUGACAUCCCAAGAAGUUAACAGAGAUGUUUUCGUGCCUCUUC